UUCAUUGAUUGGAAGGUUACCUAAAAAUACAAGUCUUAAUGAUUUAACACAUCGGGCAGCUUUUCCAUUCCAAUUCCAUUCGACGACUUCAUCAAAGUUAAAACGACGAAGUUUGAUACUCUGACCGGGCAUUUACAUUGAUGUUCAAUUCCUUCCAAUGAUGGUGUUUAAUUUAAUAACUGCUUGCUUCGACAUUAAUUCAAUUGCCCUUACUUUGCACGCAAAGGCUAAGCAGUAGUGACCAGAAACUUUUCUAAGAUUCUCUUUGUAUUGCGUUUUUUGCCCGAUUUCUUUGGCAUUUCAAGACAAGGUGAAAUUCAAAUGGAAAAUUCCCUUAGAAUAUAAUGGUUCCAAAAAUUUCACUGGAAAACAGGAAAUGUUUGAGGGAAACUCGGUGUCACAUCUGACAUUUCAAUAAUCUAACCACCAAAGACUUUGGGUUGAUGGUCAAGAGUGAGUUUCAUUUAGUGACAAGCAUUUGAUAAUGGGAUUUAGAUAAAACUGGGAUGUUAAAUCCAAUACUCGAGAGUUAAUUAUACAGGAAUGCGAGUUGAUGAAUGAAAAUUGGCCUAUGACCCAGUUAAAGCCAUAAUCUAGAAACCAUCAGCAAGAAGCAAAUACACACAAGAUCGGAUUGUUGUUUUUGGGAAAUACUGUCACUUUUUUGCCAAAAUUGACCUAAAUGCGUCUCGAAAAUCCCGUCUGGACGUCCAGCUGCCACCUGCACGGCGCCAGAGAUGGUGAACAGGUGUAAAACUGCACUAGUUUACAAUGUGAUAUGAUUAUUUACCUUUUUCAGGAGGAUAACUGUUCAGUUGUUCGUCCUCUCUCGACACCUGGGCAAUGAUGGACGAUGCGUCCAUUUAAACAUUUGUUAUAAUCCCUUGGAAAUGUAUCACUACUCGUAACUGGAUCGCGCAAACAGGCAC